rnacentral:misc_RNA from 1 species
GAGUAGAGAGGCGUAGAGCUUGAGAGUAAAAGAAAACAACCCACCAAGCAACAUCGCUUGUUUUAUCUCAAUCUUAAGAUGACGGAAGGUUUUGGCCCUCAGCAGCAGAGGAGUUGUUUCUUUUAAAAUAAAUUGGAGCAAUAGAUGAGAAAGGUCGGUUUUUUGGACUUCUUUUCUGCUGUUUAGCUCUAAGCUUCAAAUUAUGGAAACUAAUCUGCUUUAAUUCCUUAAUUUUACUAUCCACCGCUUCAAAGUUUUGACUUUUAUUUGUUGGCGGGGAACAACCAUCCUGUUUGUUGCUUCCCUUAUCAAGGGGUUUGUUCUUUGCUUAAGCCGGACACUUCAUCAUUUCCCUUUUGCUGUCAGCAGCAAUGAUGAGGCGGUGCGUCCUAAAGAUUGUUAAUUGGCAUUUGGGAUUCAGAAAUUCCAGUUUCUCCCUAGUAUGUAUCCCUACGUCCUAAUUGAAAAAGGGGGAAAAAAAAAACCUUUUGUGUUAAAUGGUCAUUGAAUUUCUUUUUCUUAAUUGGAUACGUGUGAGAUUUCAUUUUAUAUGUAUGCAUGUGCUUUGCUGUUUAGUUGUCAUGGAAGUACACAAGGGAGCUUUUUCGCCAGUCCUUGAUGGUUUCUAUUUCAUUUCCUUUAGUAUUUCUCAAUUUUCAGAUGGUAACCUUUGUGGAUUAUGCUCGAAAAGAUGAUUGGCUUGUAACUUUGAGUUUUCCUGGUGAUUAUGUCAUUGAGGGAUUAUCAUGACCACAUUUCUAUUUUUCCAGUUGGAAUAAUUACGUUUCUCAAAAAAAGAAAAAAAAUGGUGAAACAGCAAGU